rnacentral:rRNA from 1 species
GUACGGGAGGCAGCAGUGAGGAAUAUUGCGCAAUGGAGGCAACUCUGACGCAGCCAUGCCGCGUGCAGGAAGACGGUCCUAUGGAUUGUAAACUGCUUUUAUACGGGAAUAAACUUUCGUACGUGUACGGAAUUGAAUGUACCGUAAGAAUAAGCAUCGGCUAACUCCGUGCCAGCAGCCGCGGUAAUACGGAGGAUGCAAGCGUUAUCCGGAUUUAUUGGGUUUAAAGGGUGCGUAGGCGGAAUUGUAAGUCAGUGGUGAAAUCUUGCAGCUUAACUGUAAAAUUGCCAUUGAUACUGCUAUUCUUGAGUACAGUUGAAGUAGGCGGAAUGUGUAAUGUAGCGGUGAAAUGCUUAGAUAUUACACAGAACACCGAUUGCGUAGGCAGCUUACUAAGUUGUAACUGACGCUGAGGCACGAAAGCGUGGGGAUCGAACAGGAUUAGAUACCCCGGU